GCCUUGGCAUCAAGAGCCGAUGAAGGACGUUGGAGCCUGCGAUAAGCCCUGGGGAGUUGGCAACCAAGCUGUGAUCCGGGGGUGUCCGAAUGGGGAAACCUGGAAUGUCCGGAGUAGUGUCCGGUGGCCCUGCCCUGAAUGUAUAGGGGUGUGGGUGGUAACGCGGGGAAGUGAAACAUCUUAGUACCCGUAGGAAGAGAAAACAAGUGUGAUUCCGUGAGUAGUGGCGAGCGAAAGCGGAUGAGGCUAAACCG
rnacentral:rRNA from 1 species